rnacentral:lncRNA from 1 species
GGUAGUGACAAACCAACAGCCGAAGAUGAAGCAGUUCCUUGAAUUGGUGAGGAUACAGGUAGUCCCUCAAUUCUUUGAAAAAACGCACCGUACUUAAACAACUGAUGAAAAAAGAAUCUCAAGCAAAUACAGUGUCUAUAUAUAGCAUUAGUUGGAAACUCUUCAAAAUCAUCAUCACACUGACAGCAGCAAAUUGAAUCCAUCUCUCAAUUACUAUCAGCUACAAAACUCUACACCCUUUUUCUGCAACCAAAUAGCUUAAAACU